rnacentral:rRNA from 1 species
UACGGAGGGGGCUAGCGUUGUUCGGAAUUACUGGGCGUAAAGCGCACGUAGGCGGACUGUUAAGUCGGGGGUGAAAUCCUGGGGCUCAACCUCAGAAUUGCCUCCGAUACUGGCAGUCUCGAGUGCGGGAGAGGUGGAGUGGAAUUCCCAGUGUAGAGGUGAAAUUCGUAGAUAUUGGGAAGAACACCAGUGGCGAAGGCGGCUCACUGGCCCGUAACUGACGCUGAGGUGCGAAAGCGUGGGGAGCAACAG